GGGGACGAUGAUGACGGNACCGGGGGAAUAAGCACNGGCUAAUUCGUGCCAGCAGCCGCGGUAAGACGGAGGNUGCUAGCGUUGUUCGGAAUGACUGGGCGUAAAGGGCGCGUAGGCGGCCAUUCACGUCGGAUGUGAAAGCCCGGGGUUUCAAACCCCGGAACGGCAUCCGAUACGGGCUGGUUUCGAGACCGAGAGAGGUGAGUGGAAUACCCAGUGUAGAGGUGAAAUUCGUAGAUAUUGGGUGGAAACACCGGUGGCGAAAGCGGNUCACUGGUUCGUUUCUGACGNUGAGGCGCGAAAGCGUGGGGAGCAAACAGGAUUAGAUACCCUGUUAUUCCACCCCNUAAACGAUGUGGNUUGGGCGUUGGGGGCCUUCCCCUUCAGUNCCGGAGCUAACGCG
rnacentral:rRNA from 1 species